GAUAACAUUGGAGUUCAUGACUACAUUUUGCUGCCUGCCUGUUGCAAAAAUCAUUGGAUGAUCUGUACAACUAGCAAAACAUUUCAAUCCUGGGCAAUGGAGGGAAUACUGCUGUGAUGACAUUACAAACAUUCCCAGACAACACUGUUCCAAUAACUGUGGAGUGUUUGCACUGAUGUAUGCACUCUAUGUUGUUAUGGAGAGGCGUUUUGAUUUCAGUGAA